CCUACGGGAGGCAGCAGUGAGGAAUAUUGGUCAAUGGGCUUACGCCUGAACCAGCCAAGUCGCGUGAGGGAAGACUGCCCUAUGGGUUGUAAACCUCUUUUGUCAGGGAGCAACGCCGGCUACGUGUAGCCGUACUGAGAGUACCUGAAGAAAAAGCAUCGGCUAACUCCGUGCCAGAAGCCGCGGUAAUACGGGGGAUGCGAGCUUUAUCCGGAUUUAUUGGGUUUAAAGGGUGCGUAGGCGGACUGCCAAGUCAGCGGUAAAGUCGCGGGGCUCAACCUCGCUCCGCAGUUGAAACUGGCGUUCUUGAGUGGGCGAGAAGUAUGCGGAAUGCGUGGUGUAGCGGUGAAAUGCAUAGAUAUCACGAAGAACUCCGAUUGCGAAGGCAGCAUAC
rnacentral:rRNA from 1 species